rnacentral:rRNA from 1 species
UACGUAGGGGGCAAGCGUUGUCCGGAAUCAUUGGGCGUAAAGCGCGUGUAGGCGGCCAGGUAAGUCCGUUCUGAAAGCCCGGGGCUCAACCCCGGGAGGCGGAUGGAUACUGCUUGGCUCGAGUCCGGAAGAGGCGAGUGGAAUUCCCGGUGUAGCGGUGAAAUGCGCAGAUAUCAGGAGGAACACCUGUGGCGAAAGCGGCUCACUGGACCAUAACUGACGCUGAUGCACGAAAGCUAGGGGGAGCAAACAGG